rnacentral:rRNA from 1 species
ACGGAAGGCAGCAGUGGGGAAUAUUGGGCAGUGGGCGAAAGCCUGACCCAGCGACGCCGCGUGAGCGAAGAAGGUCUUCGGAUUGUAAAGCUCUGUGUACAGGGACGAUAAUGACGGUACCUGUAUAGAAAGCCACGGCUCACUACGUGCCAGCAGCCGCGGUAAUACGUAGGUGGCAAGCGUUAUCCGGAUUUACUGGGGGUAAAGGGUGUGUAGGCGGGGGAGCAAGUCAGAUGUGAAAGGUGUGGGCUCAACUCACAGACUGCGUCUGAAACUGUUCUUCUUGAGUGUCGGAGGGGGAAUGGGAAUUCCUGGUGGAGCGGUGAAAUGCGUAGAUAUCAGGAGGAACACCGGUGGCGAAGGCGGAUUACUGGACGACAACUGACGCUGAGACACGAAAGUGUGGGGAGCAAACAGGAUUAGAUACCCUGGUA